UUAUUUGAGAGUUUGAUCCUGGCUCAGGAUGAACGCUGGCGGCGUGCCUAACACAUGCAAGUUGAGCGAUUUACUUCGGUAAAGAGCGGCGGACGGGUGAGUAACGCGUGGGUAACCUACCCUGUACACACGGAUAACAUACCGAAAGGUAUGCUAAUACGGGAUAAUAUAUUUGAGAGGCAUCUCUUGAAUAUCAAAGGUGAGCCAGUACAGGAUGGACCCGCGUCUGAUUAGCUAGUUGGUAAGGUAACGGCUUACCAAGGCGACGAUCAGUAGCCGACCUGAGAGGGUGAUCGGCCACAUUGGAACUGAGACACGGUCCAAACUCCUACGGGAGGCAGCAGUGGGGAAUAUUGCACAAUGGGCGAAAGCCUGAUGCAGCAACGCCGCGUGAGUGAUGAAGGCCUUCGGGUCGUAAAACUCUGUCCUCAAGGAAGAUAAUGACGGUACUUGAGGAGGAAGCCCCGGCUAACUACGUGCCAGCAGCCGCGGUAAUACGUAGGGGGCUAGCGUUAUCCGGAUU
rnacentral:rRNA from 1 species